rnacentral:rRNA from 1 species
UACGUAGGGGGCCAGCGUUGUCCGGAAUCAUUGGGCGUAAAGCGCGCGUAGGCGGCCAGAUAAGUCCGGUGUGAAAGUCAAAGGCUCAACCUUUGAAAGCCGAUGGAUACUGUGGAGCUAGAGUACGGAAGAGGCGAGUGGAAUUCCUGGUGUAGCGGUGGAAUGCGCAGAUAUCAGGAGGAACACCAAUAGCGAAGGCAGGUCUCUGGGCAUUAACUGACGCUGAGGAGCGAAAGCAUGGGGAGCGAACAGG